rnacentral:rRNA from 1 species
CGAACGGGUGAGUAACGCGUGAGGAACCUGCCUCAAAGAGGGGACAACAGUUGGAAACGACUGCUAAUACCGCAUAAGCCCACGGCUCGGCAUCGAGCAGAGGGAAAAGGAGCAAUCCGCUUUGAGAUGGCCUCGCGUCCGAUUAACUAGUUGGUGAGGUAACGGCCCACCAAGGCGACGAUCGGUAGCCGGACUGAGAGGUUGAACGGCCACAUUGGGACUGAGACACGGCCCAG